GGUUUGAUCGUGGCUCAGAUUGAACGCUGGCGGCACGCCUUACACAUGCAAGUCGAACGGCAGCACGGGAGCUUGCUCCUGGUGGCGAGUGGCGAACGGGUGAGUAAUGCAUCGGAACGUAUCCUGGAGUGGGGGAUAACGUAGCGAAAGUUACGCUAAUACCGCAUAUUCUGUGAGCAGGAAAGCGGGGGACCUUCGGGCCUCGCGCUCUUGGAGCGGCCGAUGUCGGAUUAGCUAGUUGGUGAGGUAAAGGCUCACCAAAGGCGACGAUCCGUAGCAGGUCUGAGAGGAUGAUCUGCCACACUGGAACUGAGACACGGUCCAGACUCCUACGGGAGGCAGCAGUGGGGAAUUUUGGACAAUGGGGGCAACCCUGAUCCAGCCAUGCCGCGUGAGUGAAGAAGGCCUCGGUUGGUAAG
rnacentral:rRNA from 1 species